rnacentral:lncRNA from 1 species
UCCAAAUUCCCUGAAACAGAGUGAGUGCACAGACAGAGGAAGGCCAGGAGCGUAAUGCUCAUAAACUCCAGCCACCGGGAAAGAAACUUCAGGAGUGAGGAGUGAAGUCCAUACUUCCCAGCGGUGAGGACUCUGUAGUUCGUUUCUGACCCACAAGCACUCGCAGGAUGCCUGCCACAGCAUGGUUUGACAAGCGGUGCCAUGUCUGCACCCAGGAUCCGAACCAGUGAACCCUGGGCUGCUGAAGUGGAAUGUGCAAGUUUAACUACUGCGCCACCAGUGGUCCGUAUGCCUGUCGUUAUGCCAGUACCACACCAUUUUGAUUACUGCCGGAGGCAGAAUCAACAUUUGAUCGGCUGUUUGACAGGGUCCAGCCAAUGAGAAGAGCUGAGGGGUGCAGGGCGCGCCUCCGCAAGAAAAUGAAAAGCCAGCCUUCCCCCAAGCUAUGCUGAACUUUAAAAACUUGUUUUUCUUCUCUUUGUCUUAUACCCCACUUUCCUACUCAUGCUGUAAUUUUCCAGAUGGCCGCUUUAGAGAAAAGGGCAUGCUCCCCCCACGAGGUUGGUACUGAGAAAAUUAUGUGACCACCUGCGCAUAGUCUUCAGGAUAUCGCAAGGGGCAAGUUCCCCCUGAGGCACAUAGAUAGUGGGAGAACAUUCCUCCCUAAUGAGGGGUUCAUACUGAAGAGAGUAUUUGGAUCAAAGCAGUUGCCUCCUUCUAGUUAAUGUUUUGCUAUUCCUCCACUUUCCCUGAUAAGAAUAGAUAUACCACUUCCUCUGUAGUUAAUUAGAAAAUUCCUCCAUAUGUUAGUUAUUGAAAAUAUAUUGUUCCUUUCAAUGUGUUUCGCAAGACUUUAUAGAAGUCUUUUUCUUAGAAACUGCUGAUAAUAGAUAUUACUGAAGUCGCUUUUGUGCAGGAAAAGAUAGUUAACCUCGGCCCCCCCUAAAAGUUAACUCUGUUCCCUGUAAGAUUAUACAUAUCAAUGAUUGCCUUUUGGUUUACUCUGCAAGAACAUCUGUACUGCUAUAUUUAUCCCCUGCUAAAAAAGAUAUAAAAACGCUGUGAAAACCC